rnacentral:rRNA from 1 species
GAUGAACGCUGGCGGCGUGCCUAAUACAUGCAAGUCGAGCGAACAGACGAGGAGCUUGCUCCUUUGACGUUAGCGGCGGACGGGUGAGUAACACGUGGGUAACCUACCUAUAAGACUGGGAUAACUUCGGGAAACCGGAGCUAAUACCGGAUAAUAUUUCGAACCGCAUGGUUCGAUAGUGAAAGAUGGCUUUGCUAUCACUUAUAGAUGGACCUGCGCCGUAUUAGCUAGUUGGUAAGGUAACGGCUUACCAAGGCAACGAUACGUAGCCGACCUGAGAGGGUGAUCGGCCACACUGGAACUGAGACACGGUCCAGACUCCUACGGGAGGCAGCAGUAGGGAAUCUUCCGCAAUGGGCGAAAGCCUGACGGAGCAACGCCGCGUGAGUGAUGAAGGUCUUCGGAUCGUAAAACUCUGUUAUUAGGGAAGAACAAACGUGUAAGUAACUGUGCACGUCUUGACGGUACCUAAUCAGAAAGCCACGGCUAACUACGUGCCAGCAGCCGCGGUAAUACGUAGGUGGCAAGCGUUAUCCGGAAUUAUUGGGCGUAAAGCGCGCGUAGGCGGUUUUUUAAGUCUGAUGUGAAAGCCCACGGCUCAACCGUGGAGGGUCAUUGGAAACUGGAAAACUUGAGUGCAGAAGAGGAAAGUGGAAUUCCAUGUGUAGCGGUGAAAUGCGCAGAGAUAUGGAGGAACACCAGUGGCGAAGGCGACUUUCUGGUCUGUAACUGACGCUGAUGUGCGAAAGCGUGGGGAUCAAACAGGAUUAGAUACCCUGGUAGUCCACGCCGUAAACGAUGAGUGCUAAGUGUUAGGGGGUUUCCGCCCCUUAGUGCUGCAGCUAACGCAUUAAGCACUCCGCCUGGGGAGUACGACCGCAAGGUUGUAACUCAAAGGAAUUGACGGGGACCCGCACAAGCGGUGGAGCAUGUGGUUUAAUUCGAAGCAACGCGAAGAACCUUACCAAAUCUUGACAUCCUUUGACCCUUCUAGAGAUAGAAGUUUCCCCUUCGGGGGACAAAGUGACAGGUGGUGCAUGGUUGUCGUCAGCUCGUGUCGUGAGAUGUUGGGUUAAGUCCCGCAACGAGCGCAACCCUUAAGCUUAGUUGCCAUCAUUAAGUUGGGCACUCUAAGUUGACUGCCGGUGACAAACCGGAGGAAGGUGGGGAUGACGUCAAAUCAUCAUGCCCCUUAUGAUUUGGGCUACACACGUGCUACAAUGGACAAUACAAAGGGCAGCGAAACCGCGAGGUCAAGCAAAUCCCAUAAAGUUGUUCUCAGUUCGGAUUGUAGUCUGCAACUCGACUACAUGAAGCUGGAAUCGCUAGUAAUCGUAGAUCAGCAUGCUACGGUGAAUACGUUCCCGGGUCU